rnacentral:tRNA from 2 species
GGCCCUGUGGCUUAGUUGGCUAAAGUGCCUGUCUAGUAAAUAGGAGAUCCUGGGUUCAAAUCCCAGAAGGGCCU